ensembl:lncRNA
CGUCGAUUCAGUGCAGCAGUCCUCUGUGAGCUCCGCGCGCCCUUGAUACGCACCGGAGCUACGUCGCCGCGUCUUUCUUUAGAAAACACGAACACAAAGACCGACGGAAUAUCCUAUUAGACCCACCGGGCCGGCCACCGCUAUCUCGGAGAAGACGUGGGGUGAGAAGUGGAGAAGCGGAGGCUUUUUGAAACGGCAUGCUCCGAUGAAACCCAACAUGGCGCUGCUGCGAGGUACGGGCAGGCUGAAUUAAUUUUUGAGUCGGCGGACCCUAGUCUCCACCUGUAUCCUCGGGCUCAGCCGCACGACACACGUCGUCGCCCAAACUACCGGACAAUAACGUUGGGCUUUUUCCUUUUUGAACCAUAUCAGUAAUUUCCAUGUUUCCCCCCUCUGACGCGAGAGCUUCUUAGCCUACUGACCUGCGCGUUUCAUGGAAAACUAAGUGACAUUCACAAUUAAAGUCCAGCGGAAAUGUGAGGCGGGGAGUUGCCUGGAAAUAACGGAGAGAGAGGAACUCUUUGUACGCCUCGUUUUUCUUAUCGGUGCCAGAGGAUAACCUGUUUGGCACUUUUUACUGGUCUUCUGGGUCCGUCACUGGGCGUCCUGGUCUUACGUCCGCGCGGAUCGCUGCUCUCCCAGUUAACUUGGCCAAACAGGAAAAAGGCGUGAGUUGGGGCACGACCACGACGGCUGGAGAUAACAGCAAUUAACCAGUUUGCAUGUCCCCAUAGGGCAACAUCUGUUCGUGAUGUCGAUGCUGAGACGCAGACCAACCUGGAACUGAGACAAGGGAACCACAUCACACAAAACAUGGCAAAUGCGAGGCUUACGCCUAUCGGGCUCGACCGAGGCACUCUAAUGCGGGACAGCCUCCGUCUGCACGGUGGGGUGGUCUACCCCGGGAUCCGGGCCCUGCCGGCCGAGAAGGGCCGGGAGGGGACGUCCCUG